rnacentral:rRNA from 1 species
ACACAUAUAUUUUAUUUUUCAAAAUUAAAUAUUAUUUAAUUCUUACUAAUAAAUCCUUUUUCAAUGGAAGAUUUUUAUCUUUUAUCCUUAAAUUUUAUUUAAAGUAAUCCACAAUAUCUUAAUUGUAGUCUACACCUUUACCUAACUUAUUAGUUGUCUUUUGUGAAUGAAAUUAGAAAAAUUUAUUCUAAAGAUGGAGGUAUAUAAAAUUUUAAAAAAAGUAAAAAUUAGCGUGGAUUAUCGAUUAAAUAGCAGAUU